GCAGUCCUUUGCCAGUCUGCUGUUGGGACCAAGGAGCCACAUCAGUUUGGAUGCUCUUGCUCUCAGCUUGUUACUUAGUGGCGAAGGUAUUCCUCGUUCUGUCCGACAGCCCCCGAGGGAAGCGCAGAGGCACACAUGAUCACUGUAUCGUCGGCGUAUGUUGAUAACAGCAUUUGAUUUUGGCUGGGCGCAAAGUAUGUGCGUCUCAUGAGCGAUGGGAGGGGCAUAUCCGACGAGUAAAUUGUGUACAGAAUUGGGCCCAGCACACUGCCCUGGGGCACGCCGGCAGCAACUCGACCUGUUCUAGAUUUGACACCGUCGUUGCAGUUUACUACGAAGGUGCGCUCGCAUAGCAGGCCGUCAUGCCACACGCGGUCAAAGGCUUCCGAGAUAUCUAUAUAGACCGCUGAGCAGAAAUGUCGCUCUUCGUAUGCGCGUAAUAUAAAUUGCGUAACGCGGGCCAGUUGCUGCUCAGUGCCGUGUUCUCGCCUGAAGCCAAAUUGAUGGCUUGGCAUUGCCCUGGCAAAAUCCUGGACUUCGAAGAGCCUUGACAUUAAGAGCUUCUCGAAGAUCUUUGAUAGGCCCGAUAAGAGGCUGAUUGGACGAUAUGAUGUUGCUUCAGCUGUGCUUUUACCAGGCUUGGGAAUCAUAGUUAUGCCAGCGUGUUUCCAUUUGCUUGGGAAAUGC